AACGGCCGUACCAUGCUGAAUAUACCGGUUCUCGUUAGAUCACCGAAGUCAAGCAUCAUUGGGCGCGGUCAGUACUUGGGUGGGUGACCACCUGGGAACUCCGCGUGCCGUU